rnacentral:rRNA from 1 species
AACACAUGCAAGUCGAGCGCGCCCUUCGGGGUGAGCGGCGGACGGGUUAGUAACGCGUGGGAACGUACCCAGAUCUAAGGAAUAGCCACUGGAAACGGUGAGUAAUACCUUAUACGCCCUUCGGGGGAAAGAUUUAUCGGAUUUGGAUCGGCCCGCGUUAGAUUAGGUAGUUGGUGGGGUAAUGGCCUACCAAGCCUACGAUCUAUAGCUGGUUUUAGAGGAAGAUUCACCAACACUGGGACUGAGACACGGCCCAGACUCCUACGGGAGGCAGCAGUGGGGAAUCUUAGACAAUGGGGGCAACCCUGAUCUAGCCAUGCCGGUGAGUGAUGAAGGCCUUAGGGCGUAAAGCUCUUUCGCCUGUGAUGAUAAUGACAGUAGCAGGUAAAGAAACCCCGGCUAACUCCGUGCCAGCAGCCGCGGUAAUACGGAGGGGGGUUAGCGUUGUUCGGAAUUACUGGGCGUAAAGCGCACGUAGGCGGCCUAUCAAGUCAGGGGUGAAAUCCCGGGGCUCAACCCCGGAACUGCCUUUGAUACUGGUAGUCUAGAGUUCGAGAGAGGUGAGUGGAAUUCCGAGUGUAGAGGUGAAAUUCGUAGAUAUUCGGAGGAACACCAGUGGCGAAGGCGGCUCACUGGCUCGAUACUGACGCUGAGGUGCGAAAGUGUGGGGAGCAAACAGGAUUAGAUACCCUGGUAGUCCA